AGCGAACGCUGGCGGCAGGCUUAACACAUGCAAGUCGAACGGGCAUCUUCGGAUUUCAGUGGCAGACGGGUGAGUAACACGUGGGAACGUACCCUUCGGUUCGGAAUAACUCAGUGAAACUUGAUCUAAUACCGGAUACGCCCUUUUGGUGAAAGGUUUACUUCCGAAGGAUCGGCGCGCAUCUGAUUAGCUUGUUGGUUGGGUAACGGCCUACCAAGGCGGCGAUCAGUAGCUGGUCUGAGAGGAUGAUCAGCCACACUGGGACUGAGACACGGACCAGACUCCUACGGGAGGCAGCAGUGGGGAAUAUAGGACAAGGGGCGCAAGCGUGAUACAGCCAUGCCGCGGGAGUGAUGAAGGCCUUAGGGUUGUAAAGCUCUUUUGUACGGGACGAUAAUGACGGUACCGGAAGAAUAAGCCCCGGCUAACUUCGUG
rnacentral:rRNA from 1 species